rnacentral:lncRNA from 1 species
CCACUAGCUACCAUAAUAUGCAUCAAUGAUAAACACUCAUCUUAGACAUACAGGCGACCUAGUCGCUUCGGUAAACACAACUCACCUCAAAUCGCUUUCCGAUUGCUUAUCGACACUUGCAAUCGGCCUCCCGCGGCACCCAUAUCCGGUUCGGCCCGAUUUUACUAAUACUCACCAACCGUACGCCGAAUCGUGGCUCUAAAAAUUAUAAGUCUUCGGUUAUGUGCCACGGUGCUCCAAAUCCGUUUUCAUGAUUUUACGAUGUCGCCUCGGCCUCCAGGCGGAAACGAAGCCUAAAUGUCCGUUUCUUUAAUAUCUUUACAACGGCUCGACGAAUCGCCGAACCGACUUCGCCAACGCGUUCGUUUACCUAGCAAUUAGGUUUACGGAGGGUCAAAUGAGAUCAAACCCUACUAUUUUACAAAACUCCAUUUUCUAAGCCUAACAUGAAUUAACCUCCAAAUAAUCCAAAUUAAAUGGAGCAACAUGCUAACAAAGCUCAUUAGAGGCUAUUAGAACAUUUUGGGCUUGUUUGGUUCAAGGGUGGAAUUGGAAUGGAUAAUGGAACGGGAAUGAAUUGGAAUGGUAAUUAGAAUGGCCCACUCCCUCAAAACGUUUGGUUUAUUUAUGGAUUGAAAAUUGGAAUGAGUUAUUCACAUUUUAUUGUUUGGUUCGUAUAAACUAAAAAAUUAUAGGAUACUAUAAUACUAAUUUUACUCUCAAAUAUAAAUUUAUAUUAUUUAAAAUUUAUGAAAAAUAUAAUACUAUUCUCUAAUAAAUUUUCCAAAAAAAAUAUCAAAUUUAUUUUUAAAAACUUUUAUUAAUGUGGGUUAGGGAUAGGGUUUUGAGAGAGAAUAGGUUUUUUUUUUUUUGAUGAGAAAGGGGUGAAGAGAAGGAGUGUGAGAUGGUCACAUGGGCUUCGAGAACUUAGUGGGCUUUCGGAAUGAAAUCUCAAUCCGGGUUAGAAGACCGGAAUCAAGUUGAAGGCUAAUGGGCCAUUCCCAUUCCAGUUCGGAAUAGGAAUCCCAAACCGAUUCAUGCGAACCAAACAAAAUUAACCGGAUUUGAUCAAACCGAUUCCCAUUCCAUACCCAAAAUGGAUGAACCAAACAAGCCCUUAAUGUGAAGGAUUAAGACAAAUUCCAAAAGCUUACCACAAUGUGAACGCCGCAACGAAAGCACGCCGCUCCAACGGCUGCACGAGAGCUCGAACCGACGCCUCCAACGCGUUCGCAAGCUCGCUCUCCACCAACCCUCAAAUUUUUAGAGAGAGAUUUGGA